rnacentral:rRNA from 1 species
GACGAACGCUGGCGGCGUGCCUAAUACAUGCAAGUCGAACGCACUCUCGUUUAGAUUGAAGGAGCUUGCUCCUGAUUGAUAAACAUUUGAGUGAGUGGCGGACGGGUGAGUAACACGUGGGUAACCUGCCCUAAAGUGGGGGAUAACAUUUGGAAACAGAUGCUAAUACCGCAUAAAACCUAACACCGCAUGGUGUAGGGUUGAAAGAUGGUUUCGGCUAUCACUUUAGGAUGGACCCGCGGUGCAUUAGUUAGUUGGUGAGGUAAAGGCUCACCAAGACCGUGAUGCAUAGCCGACCUGAGAGGGUAAUCGGCCGCACUGGGACUGAGACACGGCCCAGACUCCUACGGGAGGCAGCAGUAGGGAAUCUUCCACAAUGGACGAAAGUCUGAUGGAGCAACGCCGCGUGAGUGAAGAAGGUUUCGGAUCGUAAAACUCUGUUGUUGGUAGAAGAAUGUAUCUGAUAGUAACUGAUCAGGUAGUGACGGUAUCCAACCAGAAAGCC